AAACCAAAUAAAAACCAAUAUAAAAGUGUUGUGGCUGCAAAGACGAAAACUUAAAAACCAACCCCUGGAUAAGGUACGCCAAGAAAAAAAUGAAAAAGUGACCUUAUUACAUAAUUCCAUGUAUGUACUGUACAUAGGUUAUGAUCCACGUGUGGCAGGAAAUUGCUGACCUGGCCUGACCCUCGGUUUCGGAGGGGGGGUCCGCUCCAGUACCACGAUCAUCCGUCCCUCUUUUGGUGCCACCGGACCUUGCCUGCAGGCGAAAAAACGGAUGGACUUGGCGAUCGGGACCGAGUUGUUUAUAUACAUAUAUCUCACGCGCAACUAUUAAACCAUCUGUAAAACCAUAUUAUAUCACCGCGCCUUGUGUAAAGAAAUGUUGGUGCUUGCAUAUGUAGGGUGUGGAAAAAUUAGCUCAGCGGUCAUUGCCCUUGCGGCUGACCAUACACCUAUGCGCACUUAAAUAGACCCACCUGACCGUAUGUCACCUAUUCUCUCCUUCUCUCAGG
rnacentral:lncRNA from 1 species